UCAUGCGUCCUAUUUCCCCACUGAUGCCCCCCAGAACCUUCUUCUCCUGUCAUCCCCAUCUCCGACCCCCUGCCCCCCUUCUCCUUCCCGUCCCCGUCGGCGCGCGCAGCAAUGGAGGCGCGCGCAGCGGCAGCGGCGGCGUGGGCUCGGCAGUGCGAGUUGCGGCUGCGGCGGCGUGGGCUGCGGGGGCGUGCGGCAGCAACUUGGGCGCGCAGCUGCCGGCGAGCGGGGGCGCUGCUCCCCUCACCCUCUCCAGCAGCGAGGGCCGCUACUGCGGGCGGGGCUACGGCAAGUGGAGCUAUGGCGGCUGCCGCGCGGGCUGCUACUGGCACUUGCGUCUCCCUCCGUUCCUCCCCUGAAUUGCUUCCUUGUCCGGUUCUGAUUCGGAAUUCAGGCAUGACCUUUGCUCCAAUCAAUCCGCUACCCGGCGGCGCGCGGAGGGCGAGCGCGCGGUGGAGCGGUGGCGCUGCAUCAGAGCAGCGGCAGCGGCGCACGAAGCACCAAGAGGAGCAUAUUUUUUUCAAUUUUUUUAUUUGUGACGGGGCAACACCGCCGGUUCUAGAACCGGUGGUGAUGGUUUGUACUAUCACCGCCGGGUCUGGAACAGUUGGUGAUGGCUUUCUUCGUCACCAUCGAAUUAAAUCCAACACCUCCCCAAAUCGGUGGUGAUGACUAUUUUCAACCGGCGGUGAUAGAGGGUGCUGGAGUAGUGUAAAUGUAUGAUAAGCAGAGACGUGAAUGCCAUUAUUACAAAACCAGACUA